CAGCACCUCAAGUGGUCAGGAUGAUUAUUGGGCCUAAAGCAUCCGUAGCCGGCGCUGUAAGUUUUCGGUUAAAUCCAUAUGCUCAACAUAUGGGCCGCCGGGAAUACUGCACAGCUAGGGAGUGGGAGAGGUAGACGGUACUCGGUAGGAAGGGGUAAAAUCCUUUGAUCUAUUGAUGACCACCUGUGGCGAAGGCGGUCUACCAGAACACGUCCGACGGUGAGGGAUGAAAGCUGGGGGAGCAAACCGGAUUAGAUACCCGCGUAGUCC
rnacentral:rRNA from 1 species